GUAUUCUGUUGUCGUGAUGGUGGUAUGUAUUCUGUUGUGAUGGUGGUAUGUAUUCUGUUGUCGUGAUGGUGGUAUGUAUUCUGUUAUCGUGAUGGUGGUAUGUAUUCUGUUGUCGUGAUGGUGGUAUGUAUUCUGUUGUUGAUAUGGUGGUAUGUUUUCUGUUGUCGUGAUGGUGGUAUGUAUUCUGUUGUUGAGAUGGUGGUAUGUAUUCUGUUGUUGACAUGGUGGUAUGUAUUCCUGCCACAUAUUCUGUUGUCAUGGUGGUAUGUAUUCUGUUGUCGUGAUGGUGGUGUGUAUUUUGUUGUCGUGAUGGUGGUAUGUAUUCUGUUGUUGAGAUGGUGGUAUGUAUUCUGUUGUUGAGAUGGUGGUAUGUAUUCUGUUGUUGAGAUGGUGGUAUGUAUUCUGUUGUUGAGAUGGUGGUAUGUAUUCUGUUGUCGUGAUGGUGGUAUGUAUUCUGUUGUCGUGAUGGUGGUAUGUAUUCUGUUGUCGUGAUGGUGGUAUGUAUUCUGUUGUCGUGAUGGUGGUAUGUAUUCUGUUGUCGUGUUG